rnacentral:rRNA from 1 species
UACGUAGGUGGCAAGCGUUGUCCGGAUUUACUGGGCGUAAAGAGCGCGCAGGCGGUCGAGUAAGUCGAAUGUGAAAGCCCCGGCUUAACUGGGGAGGUCAUUCGAUUACUGUUCGACUUGAAGGCAGGAGAGGGCAGCAGAAUUCCCGGUGUAGUGGUGAAAUGCGUAGAUAUCAGGAGGAACACCGGUGGCGAAGGCGGGACUCUGGGCCGAUACUGACGCUGAGGAGCGAAAGCGUGGGGAGCGAACAGG